rnacentral:rRNA from 1 species
CCUACGGGUGGCAGCAGUGGGGAAUAUUGGACAAUGGGGGCAACCCUGAUCCAGCGACGCCGCGUGUGUGAAGAAGGCCUGCGGGUUGUAAAGCACUUUUAGUGGGGAGGAAGGCCGCCGACCUAAUACGUCGGAGGAUUGACUUAACCCACAGAAAAAGCACCGGCUAACUCUGUGCCAGCAGCCGCGGUAAUACAGAGGGUGCGAGCGUUAAUCGGAAUUACUGGGCGUAAAGCGUGCGUAGGCGGUUUCGUAAGUCGGGUGUGAAAGCCCCGGGCUCAACCUGGGAAUUGCAUUCGAGACUGGGGAGCUGGAGUGCGGAAGAGGGAAGUGGAAUUUCCGGUGUAGCGGUGAAAUGCGUAGAUAUCGGAAGGAACAUCAGUGGCGAAGGCGACUUCCUGGUCCAGCACUGACGCUCAGGCACGAAAGCGUGGGGAGCAAACAGGAUUAGAUACCCUUGUAGUC